UUGAAUAAUUUGUUCAGCUAUUCCCCAAUUGAUGGGCAUCCCCUCAUUUUCCAAUUUUUGGCCACCACAAAGAGCACAGCUAUGAAUAUUCUUGUACAAGUCUUUUUCCUUAUUAUCUCUUUGGGGUACAAACCCAGCAGCUCAGCUACAAAUAUUCUUGUACAAGUCUUUUUCCUUAUUAUCUCUUUGGGGUACAAACCCAGCAGUGCUAUGGCUGGAUCAAAGGGCAGACAGUCUUUUAUUGCCCUUUGGGCAUAGUUCCAAAUUGCCCUCCAGAAUGGUUGGAUCAGUUCACAACUCCACCAGCAAUGAAUUAAUAUCCCUACUUUGCCGCAUCCCCUCCAGCAUUCAUUACUUUCCAUAGCUGUCAUGUUAGCCAAUCUGCUAGGUGUGAGGUGAUACCUCAGAGUUGUUUUGAUUUGCAUCUCUCUGAUUAUAAGAGAUGUAGAGCACUUUUUCAUGUGCUUAUUAAUAGUUUUGAUUUCUUUGGCUGAGAACUGCCUGUUCACGUCCCUUGCCCAUUUAUCAAUUGGAGAAUGGCUUGAUUUUUUGUAUAAUUGAUUUAGCUCUUUGUAAAUUUGAGUAAUUAAACCUUUGUCAGAGGUUUUUAUGAAGAUUGCUUCCCAAUUUGUUGCUUUCCUUCUGAUUUUAGUUAUAUUGGUUUUGUUUGUACAAAAGCUUUUUAAUUUGAUGUAGUUGAAAUAAUUUAUUUUACAUUUUGUGACUCUUUCUAUGUCUUGCUUGGUUUCAAAGUCGUUCCCUUCCCAAAGGUCUGACAUGUAUACUAUUCUCUGUUUACCUAAUUUACUUAUAGUUUCCUUCUUUAUGUUCAUGUCAGUCACACAUUUUGAAUUUAUCUUGGUGUAGGGUGUGAGGUGUUGAUCUAAUCCUAAUGUCUCCCAUACUGUCUUCCAGUUUUCCCAGCAGUUUUUAUCGAAUAGUGGAUUUUUGACCCAAAAGCUGGGAUCUUUGGGUUUAUCAUAUAUUGUCUUGCUGAGAUCACUUGCCCCCAGUCUAUUCCACUGAUCCUCCUUGCUGUCUCUUAGCCAGUACCACUUUGUUUUGAUGACUGCUGCUUUGUAAUAUAGUUUGAGAUCUGGGACUGCAAGGCCCCCUUCCUUUGUAUUUUUUUUCAUUAUUUCCCUGGAUAUCCUUGAUCCUUUGUUUUUCCAAAUGAACUUUUUUUGGUUUUUUCUAAAUCAGUAAAGAAAUUUUUUGGAAGUUCUAUGGGUAUGGCACUAAAUAGAUAGAU
rnacentral:lncRNA from 1 species